rnacentral:rRNA from 1 species
AGAGAGAGACAUGCGCGCAUAUCAAUAAGCGGAGGAAAAGAAACUAACAAGGAUUCCCUUAGUAACGGCGAGUGAGGCGGGAAGAGCUCAAAUUUGAAAUCUUCAAGGUUUUACCUUGACGAAUUGUAGUUUAAAGAAGUGUUUUCUGCUGAAGUUUUGGUAAAAGUUCUUUGGAAUAGGACAUCAUAGAGGGUGAGAAUCCCGUAUUUGACCAUUAUUUUCAGCUUUGUGAUACACUUUCAAAGAGUCGGAUUGUUUGGGAAUGCAGUCCAAAAUGGGUGGUAAAUUUCAUCUAAAGCUAAAUAUUGGCGAGAGACCGAUAGCGAACAAGUACCGCUGAGGGAAAGAUGAAAAGAACUUUGAAAAGAGAGUUAAACAGUACGUGAAAUUGUCAAAAGGGAAGCGCUUGACACCAGUGUUGUUUUCUCGAAAAUCAAUUAAAAAUGGCUCGAUUUUGUAUUGCUGAGACCUUAAAAGCUCACUGUACAUUUUUCGUGUCUUUUUUAAUGCACUUUUCGUUUAACAAGUCAACAUCAGUUUCUUUUGCUGUAAAAGGGUCAUUGGAAGGUGGCUUUCUUUUCGGAGAAAGUGUUUAUAGCCUUUGGCCUCUGCAAUCGGAGAGACUGAGGUCUGCAGCGUAGACUCUUCGGGGUUAGGUACAUUUGUGCUAAGUUAUAGCUUUUUAUAGACAACUUGUUGACUAUAAUUAGUCUUGUAGCUUACUCGCUUAUGCUAUUUUACCUACGCUUAGGAUGUUGAAGAUGUAGCACAUCAU